CUUUGGCAAAGGUACUGUGUUUCUCUGAAACUUGCCUGUGAAAGGCAUUUACAGAUUUAAAGGGAUUUAAAGCCUAUCUUCAAGGGCUGCUGGGAGGAGUCAGUGAGAUGGAGCACAUCUAGUGCUUGGUGGAGUGCUUGGCACAUACUUGGCCCUGUCAGCAUUAACUGCCAUCCUCAGGCCCGGGCUCUGUGAGCCGCCCGUGCCCAGCUCCAGUGGAGCGCUAUUGUCUUGGCCGUGCUGGUUGGGCUCCUAUUUUUUACCCUAAAUUUUAAGAAGGUCCUUUUCCUUGUGGGUACGGCUACAGUGCCCGAACCUGGGAGGGAUCUGAGGAGAGUGUGAUUGGGAAGGCCCGUUACAUGAUUCUAUUCCCAGCUGGGUGCCAAGAAAGGCCUAGGGGCCCAGAAGGUGAGCAGCCAGAGCUUCAGUGAGAUUGAGCGGCAGGCCCAGGUGGCAGAGAAGCUCCGUGAGCAGCAGGCAGCCGAUGCCAAGAAGCAGGUGGAGGAGUCCAUGGUCACCUCCAUGCGUCUGGCCUACCAGGAGCU
rnacentral:sRNA from 1 species